rnacentral:rRNA from 1 species
UUCACGGAGAGUUUGAUCCUGGCUCAGGACGAACGCUGGCGGCGUGCUUAACACAUGCAAGUCGAACGAUGAAGCCCUUCGGGGUGGAUUACUGGCGAACGGGUGAAUAACACCUGGGCAAUCUGCCCUUCAAUCUGGGACAAGCCCUGGAAACGGGGUCUA